CAUAAAAAGUCAGGUUAAUCAGAUGUGCACAUGUGCCUCCCAUAUUUUCUGCUUCAGUUUUGCUCCUGUGCUGCUCCUUGACAGGCACUGCAAAAUGUGAGGAGGCACCAAAAAAUAUUUGGAUUCUACAGGAUGAAGAUUAUAUUUGUAAAUCCAGAGGAUUUGCAUCUCCCUUUUGAGUAACCAUUAUCAGAGAAGGGACAUAUGUAAGCAGACUACAACUUUUCCAAGCAAAGGGCUGUGUAGGAAAUCAGAAUUCUCCCUCUUCCUGAGAAGCUUUGCUCCCUGCUGUCCCGAGCCCAACAGCCCUGCCUCUUCUUUGUGGGCUUUCUGCUGUUCUGAUGUUCCUCCUGCCUGCUGUAGUAGUGAAAUUGUGCUGAAACAACUGCCUAUUGCCCUUUGUGCACUGCAGAAAGAAUGAGCUCUGUGGAAGUAUGAGGGAAGCUGAGGGAGAAGGAAAGCAGGUGAUACGGCCCAUCGUGGGCCUGCAUGGGCUGUGAGCAGCACCAAAAAAGGGAAAAGCAGCAAAUUGGUGCUACUGAUGCAGCUGUGGGUAGUUAAACAGCAAAGCCCCUAGGGCCUUAAUGUGAGUGCUCCCAGCUGUAGGAGGAGAGGAGCUGGGGAUGAUAUGUGUUGGGCAUUUCUGCAGUCCUGUGGUCCCAAGCAGCAGAAGAUCACUGCUCUGGGCACAUUGCGGACAACCUGGAGCUGAGCAAAGGCUCCCACCACUUUGGGAGCCCUCUGCUCACUGUUGCACGCACAAACGUAGCGAGGCAAAGUCACCAUCCGCACAUCGGCCUUCCCCCACUGAGUGUACUGUAGCAAAGGUAAUGAAUGGGUCUUUGGGUCUGUAUUUUUUUCUUUUCUUUUCUUUUCCCCCCUUCCAUCUAGGCUUCAUAAAGCAGGAUGGGGGGGCAGUUUUUCUCAUAGAAAUUAGCUCUUCCUUUGACCUCGUGCUACCCAUGCACGGGGUGGAUCGAUAACCGGCAAGGGGACCGUCCCUGCAGCCACCAGGCUCUCCACUGUGCUCCCACUGAUGCGAAGUGACUGUAUUUUUAUGAUUACAUUUUGAAAU
rnacentral:lncRNA from 1 species